UGGUGGAGAUAUACGCAAAUCAGCAGUAAUUUAAGAGAAGGACCAACCACAGUGUGUGGGUUCACUAAUCAUGUGAUUAAAAACUUGUGUGGCAAUAACAACUGGGUUUAAAUAAAAGAGAAAAAAGAGAGCACGGUAUCAUUAGCACCAGCAAUAAAGAAAAGGAGACACAAACCUGGAGCGAGAAAGAGAGAGGGAAGGAGAGCGAGGGAGAACGUGCUCUCUCAAAGAACAACACCUGUCUGUAAUCCCACGUAGCCUGUGUUGACUUUGCCAUCAGGGCCGACGUGCAACGCCACCAGUUCUGACGAGAGCAGUGUGCGGGAAACAGAUUGGAGGGAACUGAUCAGAGGUGUUUGUGAUAGAGUAACAGAAUGGAUGUGCCUUAACUCCUGAGACUGAGAGAUUGUGAUGGAGGGUGACAGACACAGCAGUCCACACAAGGAUCUGGAGAUUGUGUGCACAGCUUCUGCCAAGCCUUUACACAUAGCCACUGUUGCUCUAGGUCCGUGUGGAUGGAUGCCCACCCUGUGGAGGAGGGGCUUCCUCGUGCCAGCUUGACUGGGAGCUGUUAGGUAAUGGUCAGCAGAUGCAAUGGCUGUCUGGCGAUAGAGAUUAUGUGACAACAGUGUUGAAAACUAACACACUUGACUGCGAAUAAAAAGGUAACAGUGAUGAAUGUCAUGAGGUAGGAGGGGGAAGGUUUCGAGUUUCGCCAGGUGUAUUUGGGCCUUGCCAAAUGCCACCUUCAGAGCAGAGAGGGUGAGCUGUUUUGCCGCCCGCCCAAUGAAUGCUAAUGAGAGCAUGUGUGUGUGUGUGUGUGUGUGUGUCUAAAUGUUAUUCACACCGGAUCAAACUAAGCCUACAAAGAGGUGCAAAAGCGAGGCUGGCAGACUACCAAACCAAAACACCCUGGAAGCACGUCAAUACAUUACAUUUACUUAACACAUGUAGCAGUGGAAAGUGUGUCAGCCACAAUAACCAUCAGUGCAUAAUGGCUUUUUUAGAAUUUUAUGUUCAUCUGCAUCAUAAACUGCAAAGCUAGCAGUGGCUGCUCUUUUUCACAUGAUUGGGUAUAUUGAGACAUGCCAAGGUUUACACGGUACACCAAAUGCUGCACACUGUUGUGUUUUUUAUUUUAGCUUUGGCUGAAAAUUGGCCUUGAAAAAAUGGUCCUUUUGUUCCUGUAAAGUUAAACGAAAUGAAAGAUGCCAAAUUUUGCUGUCACCUUCACACAUACCUCUUCAUUUGAUAUAAUCUGCUUUUGAAAAUAGUGGGUGGAAUAGAAGAGUGUGUGCUUUGCCUUAAGUUUCCCUACAGAUUUCUUUCUUCAGUCGAAAAGAAAAACAUUCCAGGAUUUUUCUCCAUAUAGUGGACUUCACCAGGCUACAAUGGGUUGAAAGUCUAAAUUGCAGUUUCAAUGCAGCUUCAAAGGGCUCUACACGAUCCCAGACGAGUCUUAUUGAGCGAAACGAUCAGUCAUUUUCCAAAAAAUAAAAAAUAAAUAAAAAUUAUAUAAUAUAC